AGCAUAAAUGUAAACUGGUGGUGGCGGUGAUUUCACUGGAGGGGGAGGUGAUUUGUAAAUGUAUGUGGGAGCCGGAGAUGGGGAUGGAGGAGGUGGUGAUGUGUAGUGGUAUGGAGGUGGAGGAGAUUUUAUAGGUGGGGGAGGACUCACAUAAUGGUAAGGAGGUGGAGGAGACGACGUUGGUGGUGGAGGGGAUUUGUAGUAGUAGGGAGUACGAGGAGUGGGAGAUGGUGGAGGAGGACUUUGAUAGUGAUAAGGAGGUGGUGGAGAUGGAGAUGGAGGUGGGGGAGAUUUGUAAUAGUAAGGAGGUGGAGGUGACGGGGAUGGUGGUGGAGGUGAUUUGUAAUAGUAGGGAGGUGGUGGAGAUGGCGAUGGUGGUGGUGGAGAGUGAUAGUAGUAUGGGGGAGGAGGGGACGGAGAAGGUGGGGGUGGGCUCUUGUAAUAGUAUGGAGGUGGAGGAGAUGGAGAUGGUGGAGGGGGACUCUUGUAGUAGUAAGGAGGUGGUGGAGAUGGCGAUGGUGGUGGUGGAGAGUGGUAGUAGUAUGGGGGAGGAGGGGAGGGAGACGGUGGAGGUGGACUCUUGUAAUAGUACGGAGGUGGAGGGGAUGGAGAUGGUGGAGGGGGACUCUUGUAAUAGUAUGGAGGUGGAGGUGAUGGGGAUGGUGGUGGAGGUGAUUUGUAGUAAUAAGGAGGUGGUGGAGAUGGCGAUGGUGGUGGUGGAGACUUGUAGUAGUAAGGUGGGGGAGGGGAUGGUGAGGGUGGUGGAGGAGAUUUGUAAUAGUAUGGAGGUGGAGGGGAUGGUGAUGGUGGAGGUGGUGACUUGUAAUAGUAUGGUGGAGGAGGGGAUGGUGAUGGUGGUGGUGGAGACUUGUAGUAGUAAGGUGGGGGAGGGGAUGGUGAAGGUGGUGGAGGAGACUUGUAGUAGUAAGGUGGGGGAGGGGAUGGUGAAGGUGGUGGAGGAGACUUGUAGUAGUAAGGUGGGGGAGGGGAUGGUGAAGGUGGUGGAGGAGACUUGUAAUAGUAUGGUGGAGGAGGGGAUGGUGAUGGUGGGGGUGGUGACUUAUAGUAGUAUGGUGGGUGUGGAAUUUCUUUAGGUGGGGGAGGAGAAUGAUAAUAGUAUGGUGGAGGGGGGGAUGAUCUUGGAGGUGGAGGAGAUUUGUAAUAGUAUAAGGUGGGGGAGGGGAUGGUGAAGGUGGUGGAGGAGACUUGUAGUAGUAAGGUGGGGGAGGGGAUGGUGAAGGUGGUGGAGGAGACUUGUAAUAGUAUGGUGGAGGAGGGGAUGGUGAUGGUGGGGGUGGUGACUUAUAGUAGUAUGGUGGGUGUGGAAUUUCUUUAGGUGGGGGAGGAGAAUGAUAAUAGUAUGGUGGAGGGGGGGAUGAUCUUGGAGGUGGAGGAGAUUUGUAAUAGUAUGGAGGUGGAGGGGAUGGAGAUGGUGGUGGUGGAGACUUGUAGUAAUAAGGUGGAGAAUAAUAAUGGACGGGUGGAGGCGGAGAUUUGUACUUAUAGACUGGUGUUGGAGGAGGAGGUGAUUUGUAGUAGUAAGGAGGGUUAGGUAUAGGUGAUGGUGGAGGUGGAGACUUGUAGUAAUAUGGAGGAGAAUAGUAAUGUACAGGUGGAGGUGGAGACUUGUACACGUAAGUAGGUGAUGGUGGAGGUGGUGACUUGUACAAGUAAGUAGGUGAUGGUGGAGGAGGUGAUUUGUACAAGUAAGUUGGUGAUGGUGGUGGUGGGGAAUUGUACUUGUAAACUGGUGUUGGAGGAGGAGGUGACUUGUAGUAGUAAGGAGGUGUAGGUACAGGAGAUGGUGGAGGUGGAGAAUUGUAAUAAUAAGGGGGUGAUUUCACAGGAGGGGGAGGUGACUUGUAGUAAUACGGAGGAGAAUAAUAAUGGACAGGCGGAGGGGGUGACUUGUACGUGUAAGUUGGUGACGGUGGAGGCGGUGACUUGUAUAUGUAAACUGGUGUAGGAGGAGGAGGUGACUUGUAGUAGUAAGGAGUUGGUGAAGGCUUAGGUUUUUCACAUUCUUCAAAAUGCUUCUUAGAAGCAUAAGCGAAGGGCUUAGCCUUGAGCACAACUUCAUACUUAUCUUUGGAUUUGACCUUCAAGUCGG
rnacentral:lncRNA from 1 species